CCUACGGGGGGCAGCAGUGGGGAAUAUUGCACAAUGGGCGCAAGCAGGAUGCAGCGACGCCGCGAGAGCGAUGAAGGCCUUCGGGUCGUAAAGCACUGUCCUAAGGGAAGAAUAAUGACGGUACCGUAGGAGGAAGCCCCGGCUAACUACGUGCCAGCAGCCGCGGUAAUACGUAGGGGGCGAGCGUUAUCCGGAAUCACUGGGCGUAAAGGGUGCGUAGGCGGCCCCGCAAGUCAGGAGUUAAAUCCCGCGGCUCAACCGAGGUCAGCUCUUGAAACGGUAGGGCUUGGGUGCAGGGGAGGCCAGCCGAAUUCCUAGUGUCGCGGUGAAAUGCGUCGAUAUUCGGAGGAACCCCAGUGGCGAAGGCGGCUCUCUGGACUGCAACUGACGCUGAGGCACGAAAGCGUGGGGAGCGAUCAUGAUUAGAUACCCUGGUAGUC
rnacentral:rRNA from 1 species